UCUGCUCCCAGGCCCCGGCCGCAGCUGGAAGGCACGGCGGUGUCACUGCGGCGUGUCACGUUCAGUAGGUCGCUUAACAUAUGUUUGCUUAAGACGCUAUUUGGAAGCGAAUUUUGGUACGUUUGAGGAGCAAUGUCAGCGUGGAAUUGGUGUCAAAGUGUGUGGAUGUUCAUUUCUCAUGCUCAUAAAAACUGACUUUCCUUAAAAGUUUGUUUUUUUCCAUGUAGUUCCAGCUGUCCCCUAGCGAGCCAGGUUACUGGGUGGUGGAUGACACAGGAGCCUCAGUGUGCCUAGCGUACGUGCAGACAGGGAGCAAAAUCAUGUCAGGAAAUGUACGAGGAAGGUGCUUGAAGAGUGGGAGGAAUGGAAAUAGUGAGAAACUUUCCUGCUGGGAUGGAAUGUGGCCAGGCGAACUGGACUGGAGCUGCCAUUCCCUGAAAGACACCCGUGCUUUCUUUGGCUCUUCUCGUAACAGCACAAGGUUUUCCCCACGUACCAGGAAUGCAGCUACUUCCCUCUGUCUGAAGGAUUAUAGUGUUAGUACUGGAGCUGCAUCUGGAGAGAACCCGUCCAGAAGAUAAAGCUGUCCUGUUCAGUUUUAGUUUGCUCUUACAAAUGUUCAAGACCUCAGAGCUGAGCUGGAGAGGUAGUCGCUUAGGUUUGUUCGCGUACCUCACUUGCCAGGGUCAGCCCUGGAGAAG